GAUGAACGCUGGCGGCGUGCCUAAUACAUGCAAGUCGAGCGAACAGACGAGGAGCUUGCUCCUCUGACGUUAGCGGCGGACGGGUGAGUAACACGUGGAUAACCUACCUAUAAGACUGGGAUAACUUCGGGAAACCGGAGCUAAUACCGGAUAAUAUAUUGAAUCGCAUGGUUCAAUAGUGAAAGACGGUUUUGCUGUCACUUAUAGAUGGAUCCGCGCCGCAUUAGCUAGUUGGUAAGGUAACGGCUUACCAAGGCAACGAUGCGUAGCCGACCUGAGAGGGUGAUCGGCCACACUGGAACUGAGACACGGUCCAGACUCCUACGGGAGGCAGCAGUAGGGAAUCUUCCGCAAUGGGCGAAAGCCUGACGGAGCAACGCCGCGUGAGUGAUGAAGGUCUUCGGAUCGUAAAACUCUGUUAUUAGGGAAGAACAAAUGUGUAAGUAACUAUGCACGUCUUGACAGUACCUAAUCAGAAAGCCACGGCUAACUACGUG
rnacentral:rRNA from 1 species